rfam:Oryza brachyantha chromosome 9, whole genome shotgun sequence.
UUUUGGCUUUUUCGUGUCCAACGUUUGACCAUUCGUCUUAUUUAAAAUUUUUUAGCGAUUAAUAUUUUUAUUAUUACUAGAUAAUAAAAUAUGAAUAGUUCUUUAUACGUGACUAAUUCUUUUAAAUUUUUGUACAAAUUUUUCAAAUAAAACGAAUGGUCAAACGUUGGACACGGAAAA